GUAAGGUCCGACCCGCACGAAAGGUGUAACGAGCGGAGCACUGUCUCAACGAGGGACCCGGCGAAAUUGAAGUACGUGUGAAGAUGCGCGUUACCCGCAGCUGGACAAAAAGACCCUGUGGAGCUUUACUGUAGCCUGCCAUAGCGUUAGGGCUUGGUCUGUGUAGGAUAGCUGGGAGACUGAGAAGCGAGGGCGCUAGCCUUCGUGGAGUCGCCGGUGAAAUACCAGCCUGGCUGAGCUUUGACCCUAACCUGACUGGAAAGUUGGGGACAGUGGCAGGUGGGCAGUUUGACUGGGGCGGUCGCCUCCUAAAGAGUAACGGAGGCGUUCAAAAGGUGGGGCUCAGGCUGAAUGGAAACCAGCCAGUGCGUGCAAAGGCAAAAAGCCCCGCUUGACUGCAAGGCCAACGCGCCGAGCAGAGACGAAAGUCGGACUUAGUGAUCCUACGGCUCAGAGUGGAAUGGCCGUAGCUUACCGGAUAAAAGCUACCCCGGGGAUAACAGGCUAGUCUUGUCCAGAUUCACAUCGACGAACG
rnacentral:rRNA from 1 species